rnacentral:rRNA from 1 species
CCUAAAGCUAAAUAUUGGCGAGAGACCGAUAGCGAACAAGUACCGUGAGGGAAGGAUGAAAAGAACUUUGAAAAGAGAGUUAAACAGUACGUGAGAUUGUUGAAAGGGAAACGAUUGAAGUCAGUCGUACCAACGGGAAAUCAAUUCAUCGAGUGUUGAAUUUGGAUCUUAAAGAGUCUUAAAACCUUUGGGUUUCGGAUAUUUUCACUUUUUUGAACGUAUUUUCUCGUACGGUAGGUUAACAUCGAUUUUGAAGAUUAUAAAAUGAUCGGAGGAAUGUAGCUUCGAUCUCGUAUUGAAGUGUUAUAGCCUUUGGUAGAUGUAAUGAUCAAGAUCGAGGAUUGCAACGAAUACCUUUUGGGCUAUCCGUCUGAUCUCUGAUACGUUGCCUCGGUAACGAAAGCGUGCUUACGGUAUUGAGGUAUUACGGUCAAAAGGUUAGAACGUGAUUACAUUCGUU